AGUCAGCUGGGCAGUCGCCGGUAAUUUGCUUUGUGCAAAUUGCGGGAGGAAAGUCCGGGCUCCAUAGGGCAGGGUGCCAGGUAACCCCUGGGGGGCGUGAGCCUACGGAAAGUGCAGCAGAGAGUAGACCGCCAGCAGUAGCUUUGGCUGCAGUUGGUAAGGGUGAAAGGGUGCGGUAAGAGCGCACCGCGCGAGUGGCAACACAUCGUGGCAAGGUAAACCCCACUCGGAGCAAGGCCAAAUAGAGAUCUGUUGACGCGGCCCGCGUUGGAUCUGGGUAGGCCGCUUGAGGCUGUUGGUGACGACAGCCCUAGAUGAAUGACUGUUCAAGACAAAACCCGGCUUAUAGGCUGGCUCU
rnacentral:RNase_P_RNA from 1 species